rnacentral:rRNA from 1 species
ACGAACGCUGGCGGCGUGCCUAAUACAUGCAAGUAGAACGCUGAAGAGAGGAGCUUGCUCUUCUUGGAUGAGUUGCGAACGGGUGAGUAACGCGUAGGUAACCUGCCUUGUAGCGGGGGAUAACUAUUGGAAACGAUAGCUAAUACCGCAUAACAAUGGAUGACACAUGUCAUUUAUUUGAAAGGGGCAAUUGCUCCACUACAAGAUGGACCUGCGUUGUAUUAGCUAGUAGGUGAGGUAAUGGCUCACCUAGGCGACGAUACAUAGCCGACCUGAGAGGGUGAUCGGCCACACUGGGACUGAGACACGGCCCAGACUCCUACGGGAGGCAGCAGUAGGGAAUCUUCGGCAAUUGGGGCAACCCUGACCGAGCAACGCCGCGUGAGUGAAGAAGGGUUUCGGAUCGUAAAGCUCUGUUGUAAGUCAAGAACGGUUGUGAGAGUGGAAAGUUCACACUGUGACGGUAGCUUAACAGAAAGGGACGGCUAACUACGUG